rnacentral:lncRNA from 10 species
AAAAAUUAAAAUGAUGAUAGAUGAAAUUCAAAGGACAAAUUGGAAAAUAAAGUAAAAGAAAUCUGCUAGAGAUGAAGAAUAACAGAGAAAAUGUUAAAGAUGUAGAGGAUUAGCACAGGCUGUCCAACAUCUAACUAAUAGAAACAUCAAAAAAGAGGAUGGAUGGAAGGAGAUGAUCAAAGAAACAAUACAAGACAUUUUUUCUCACCUGAAAAGCCCCACUGAGUACCCAUCGGAGUAAAUGAGGGAGGAUGCACGCCACUGUGUAUAAAAUUUUAAACAACCAAAAUAAAUAAAUAAAAGAUCUUAAAGACUUCCAGAAAGGAAAAGCAGGUCACAUGCAAAGAAAAGAAAGAGAGUGGCGUGUGGAUUUCAGCAGCACCAGCUUCUCGAAAACCAUGGAGCCUCGCUUCAGCUUUUGAUUUCUUCAGCCAGCAAAAUGAUCACGUUGCGUAGAAUAAAGCCAUUUCCAGGUGUGCAAGGACUAAAAACACAGUGUUUUAGACUGGACUCAAAAAAGAGCAUAAACAAAAAACAAAUGAAUGAACAAAAGACAGAGAGUACAGGACGCAGAAAACCCAGGGUCCCAGAGCAGGGAGAGGAUUCCCGGGACCGUGGCAGACUCAUUCCCAGGGUGACAGCCACGGAGCGGGCUGAGAGACAGCAGUCCAGGUAGACAGAAGGGCAGAAGGCCUGAAGGAGAAGGAUCCAACGUGAACAACAGCAGAAACUAACGAAUCAGUGCUGGGAAGGUAGCAGCAGUGGUCACAUAGUUUUUUACAAUCUCUUCAAAUCGCCAAUAAAAACAGUAACUUGAUAGCAGAACCAAAUCCAAGCAGAUAACAUCUAAAACCACGCCUGGCGAUGAAGUGCAUUCGUGUCCCAGGGCUAGUGUAACAAAGUGCCACAAACUUGGCAGCUAAAAUGAUGGAUAUUUCUCUCUCACCGUCCUGGAGGCCAGAAGUCCAAAACCAAGGGGUUGGCCUGGCUGGUUCUUCCCAGAGGCUCUGAGAGAGACUAUGCACACACACCUCUCCUUUAACUUGGCAACCCUUGACUCUCCUUGCCUUGUAGAUGUACCACUCCAAUCUCUGCCUCCAUCCCUGCGUCUCUGUGCCAAACCCCCCUCUCCCUUCUCUUCUAAGGACACCAGUCAUUGAUUUAGGGCUGCCCUAAAUUCAGGCGACCUCAAUUGAAUUGCAUCUGCAAAGACCCUGUUCCACGUCAGGUCACAUUCCCAGGCACUGGCAGUUAGCACUUUGACAUUCCCCAAAUUCCGAUCUUUGCGGCCUCGGCUCAGUGGGACCGAGGACAGUGGGACCAUCUUUGGGUCGGUGGGACCCCACCAGGCUCCCUUGGACUUCCGCUUGUGGUGCCACAGGGAAGCUGUAACCGGGCUGAGAGCCAGGGAACUAUGGGGCGCACACCUCCUCCUCUUCCUUGGAGUCUUGCACUACCUGUUGUUCACACCUGAAAUCAGUUGCCUCAUAAAUGUUGUCCAAUUUUAUGGUUGUUUAAUGUGGGAGGGUGAGUCCAGGACCGAGGACUCUGUCAGAGCUGGAGACCAAAGCCCACCCAAUAUCCCUGCAGAAGCUCCUUUUCACCUGAGCUCAGCCAGAACAGGCUUCUAUUGCUGGCAGCCAGGAGCCCCGCCUGAGCCGCGUGAUAAAUAAUGUCCUCUAGAACCUCCCUGGAGGCAGGUUCCAGGGCACCUCCUGUGGCCCCUUGGGACCCAUGGAUCGCACAGAGUGCAAUUCAGCAGGGGAAGUUUUCUGUACGGAAGGAAAGAUAGAGAGAAAAUGUAUAUAUUAGGUUGGUGCAAAAGUAAUUGCAGUUUUUGCCACUGAAUGUAAUGGCCUAUCCUCCUACAAGGCCGAGUUUAGGGAGACAUUUCAAAGAUCCAGAGCAACAGAUUCCACCCUACAGAAUUCAUGGAUAGUCACAUCCUGGGAAACCAUGGAGCUAUCGCGAGGGUCCCACGAAUCCAUGUGAUCCUAAGAAUUCGCUAUAGACUCAAUACUGGGCUGUUUCCAGGUAUGCACAGAGGCUGCUGCAUUUUAUAAAAUAAAAAUCCAUUUUAAAACUAUAAAUAAAUGCACGAUGGUUUUAGU